UCCUAAAUUGCACUUUGAUUUUAUGAUGCAGGCUCGACACACUCCCAUCUGGAGAAGGGCACUGAAAUAAGGACAUUGACUGCUUCGCCCUGCCUGUGUGAGACACUGUGUGCACUGGAAGGCUAUGAGGAAGUCUGGCUUUCUGAGGAAACAACAAAGGCUUUUGGCAUCCAGCAGCCUUCCUGAAAAUCAUUUCCAGGGCAUGUGCGGGUCAUCCAGAACAUGGUAUUUAUGCAAUCAGUUGACUUAUUUUUUCUGUUAACAGAGCACAGAAAACAGCCUACCACAAUCCAGCUGAAAGCAUAAUGACUCUGCUCACUUUUCUUCUCAAGGAACCAAGGAAGGAAGAAAGGAUAUGAUGUCACCAAAUAAAUGCUAGAACCUCUGCA
rnacentral:lncRNA from 1 species